UACGGAGGAUGCAAGCGUUAUCCGGAAUGAUUGGGCGUAAAGGGUCCGCAGGUGGUUUAUCAAGUCUGUUGUUAAAGAAUCUGGCUCAACUAGAUAAAGGCAAUGGAAACUGAGAGACUAGAGUGCAGUAGGGGUAGAGGGAAUUCCCAGUGUAGCGGUGAAAUGCGUAGAGAUUGGGAAGAACACCGGUGGCGAAAGCGCUCUGCUGGACUGCAACUGACACUGAGGGACGAAAGCUAGGGGAGCGAAUGGG
rnacentral:rRNA from 2 species